rnacentral:rRNA from 1 species
CCAGGAGACAGGUGCUGCAUGGCUGUCGUCAGUCUCGUGUCGUGAGAUUGUUCGGGUUAAGUCCCGCAACGAGCGCAACCCUUGUCUUUAAUUGCCAUCAUUCAGUUGGGCACUUUGAAGAGACUGCCGGUGUUAAACCGGAGGAAGGUGGGGAUGACGUCAAGUCCUCAUGGCCUUUAUGUCCAGGGCUACACACGUGCUACAAUGGCCGGUACAAAGGGCUGCAAGACCGUGAGGUUGAGCGAAAUCCCAGAAAAGCCGGUCUCAGUUCGGAUUGGAGUCUGCAACUCGACUCCAUGAAGUUGGAAUCGCUAGUAAUCGCGGAUCAGCAUGCCGCGGUGAAUACGUUCCCGGGCCUU